ensembl:rRNA 5S_rRNA 5S ribosomal RNA
GUCUCUGGCCAUACUAUCUUGAACACACCCAAUCUCGUCUGAUCUCGAAAGCUAAGCGGGAGGGUCAGGCCUGUUCUGUGAGUAGGGGGCAAAGGGGUGGAGCUGGUGCGGAGGCU